AUUGUGAUGUCGUCGCUGAGCACAAAGGAGCAUUCUACUCCUUAACAAUCAAAACCAGAUGGUACCAAUUUUGAUAGCCAUUUUCACAGAGAUGAGAAUGCUUUUGUUGUGCUGGAUCUAUUGUAAGCCAGUUAGCUUCAGAGCGGCUGCCCAGUGCUUGCACCAAGGCGCAUGGAUUCCUGUUGCUUCACACAUUGGCAGUUGGCAAACUCCAGUGUCCACAGGCAAUACACCAAGCCUCCUCAUCUGUGCCAAACAGUGGCUCGUGGCAGAAAGUGCUAACAGGGCAAGUCCACAGUGAACUGUGAACAUGCCUCUGAUACAGCCCUGUGACAACGGCAUCUUCGCUGCACGUGAGAUCAGCAAGCCUGCGCUGAAGUGACUUCCCAUUAUACCCCUGGGAAGGAACAAGGCAGGUUUCCACCUCAGCAGACUGUUAACCUUGUAGCAGAGCUGCCUAGACCAAGCCGACGAGUGGGAGGGAUUCUUCCUACUAAAAUUAAAUAAACCUAAUGUGAAAAAUGCCA